rnacentral:rRNA from 1 species
AAUGCUCGAAAGUGCGGGUAUCGAACAGGAUUAGAUACCCUGGUAGUCCGCACGGUAAACGAUGGAUGCCCGCUGUUGGCGAUAUACUGUCAGCGGCCAAGCGAAAGCGUUAAGCAUCCCACCUGGGGAGUACGCCGGCAACGGUGAAACUCAAAGGAAUUGACGGGGGCCCGCACAAGCGGAGGAACAUGUGGUUUAAUUCGAUGAUACGCGAGGAACCUUACCCGGGCUUGAACUGCAGGAGAACGAUACAGAGAUGUUGAGGUCCUUCGGGACUCCUGUGGAGGUGCUGCAUGGUUGUCGUCAGCUCGUGCCGUGAGGUGUCGGCUUAAGUGCCAUAACGAGCGCAACCCCUUCCGUCAGUUGCCAUCACUUUGGGUGGGCACUCUGGCGGUACUGCCACCGUAAGGUGUGAGGAAGGUGGGGAUGACGUCAAAUCAGCACGGCCCUUACGUCCGGGGCUACACACGUGUUACAAUGGGUGGUACAGAGAGUCGGCCGCAUGCAAAUUCGGUCUAAUCAUGAAAGCCAUCCUCAGUUCGGAUUGGGGUCUGCAACCCGACCCCAUGAAGCUGGAUUCGCUAGUAAUCGCGCAUCAGCC